rnacentral:rRNA from 1 species
AGUGAACGCUGGCGGUAGGCCUAACACAUGCAAGUCGAACGGCAGCACAGGAGAGCUUGCUCUCUGGGUGGCGAGUGGCGGACGGGUGAGGAAUACAUCGGAAUCUGCCCAGUCGUGGGGGAUAACGUAGGGAAACUUACGCUAAUACCGCAUACGACCUUCGGGUGAAAGAGGGGGAUCGCAAGACCUCUCGCGAUUGGAUGAGCCGAUGUCGGAUUAGCUAGUUGGCGGGGUAAUGGCCCACCAAGGCGACGAUCCGUAGCUGGUCUGAGAGGAUGAUCAGCCACACUGGAACUGAGACACGGUCCAGACUCCUACGGGAGGCAGCAGUGGGGAAUAUUGGACAAUGGGCGCAAGCCUGAUCCAGCCAUACCGCGUGGGUGAAGAAGGCCUUCGGGUUGUAAAGCCCUUUUGUUGGGAAAGAAAUCUUUCAGGCUAAUACCCUGGGAGGAUGACGGUACCCAAAGAAUAAGCGCCGGCUAACUUCGUG